rnacentral:lncRNA from 1 species
CCCACUCUAUCUUAGUCCUUUUCUGCAGCCCAGGCUUGUUAUUAUUUCAUCUUGUUUUUUGUCUUAUAGUUUGUGGUCCCCUUCGUUGUUAUGCUCCUCCCACCACGUUCUGGUCCGUGGGGAUCCUUCUAGUGGGGAGCAGGGUCUGUGGUUUAUUCUGUUUUGUCUCCAGCUGUCUUAUAUAUAGUCCUGGAGGAUCUUUUGUUAUUUUUUCCUUAUGAAAAAAUCAAUGAAACAGUUCUUAUGAACUUGGGAGAGCACCCACCUCUAGAAUUGUGGGAACCUAUCAUUUACGUUUGAUUUAUUCUGUUGUGAAUUGCAAGUCUAAGCUAUCAACUGGUAUCAGAGCGAUAAGAUUCCAUGGGGGGAGCUUCCAAAGAAGCAGCGGCGGUGAAGAAGGUUGAAGAGCAAGUGGGGUUAAUGCAAGUCCAUCUUCAAUCUCAUGGGACGGAUAUCCAGGAGAUGAAGCUAACGAUGGAUAGCCUUCUUCAAGGCCAAGACCGAACAAAUCAACGACAGGAUGAACUGCAGUCGACCUUGGACAAGGUUUUGGAGAAACUCGAGACUGUAACAGGGACGCCAGGGGGGAGAACCCAAACACCGGUGGUUCUCUCAGGCAACAAUACUCCUUCUGGACCUACAACAAACAAGAACAAGGGAGUCGCGAGUUCUGUGAUUAGCGGUACGUUACCAGGCAGAGGAGGUUCUGGCGGACUUGGAGGAAACGGCGGUCCUGGUGGAAACGGCCUUGUGUUUGGGACUCUUUACCAAACUAACAACAACACCGGCGGUGGGAGGUACGAAUUCCGGCAUAGAAAAAUUGACAUGCCAACCUUUGAUGGGACGGAUCCAGACGGAUGGAUUCUUCAGGCGGAGCGCUAUUUCGCAAUAUAUCAACUCUUAGAUGAAGAGAAGAUUACGGCGGCUGUCCUCGCACUUAGUGGGGAUGCUUUGUCUUGGUAUCGUUGGUCCAACCAACGAGCUGAGAUACGAACAUGGGAAGUAAUGAAGGAGGUGUUCCUGAACAGAUUUCGCCCAAUACACGGUGGCGAUUUGUACAAGCAGUGGGCUGCCCUAACGCAGACCGGGACGGCGGAGGAAUACGUCCGGCGAUUCAUCGAAUUGUCGGCUCCGCUGGAAGGGUUAACAAAAAGGGUGGCGUUGGGAAAUUUCAUAGAUGGACUAUCGGAUCAGAUCAAGACAGAGCUACGACUUUGGACCCCCAGAGAUCUGGGCCGUGCCAUUGACUUAGCCCAACAAAUUGAAGAAAGGAACAGGGCCUUAUUCGCUAGCGGGUUCGGAUCCCUGGGAAUUCGGGGCAAUCAAACCGGAGGGCGUAGUAUUGGGGGAAAUCCGACCCAUUCUACCACUUUCUCUCAACCAGGAAGAUCGGGAAGUAAUGCUCGACCUCACCGAACACUGACUGAGGCUCAAAUCCAAGAUAAGAGGAGCCGUGGCGUAUGUUAUCGUUGUGAUGACAGGUGGUUCAAGGGACACGUCUGCAAAUCACAGGUUAACGUGAUUCUUGUAGAUGAGGAAGAACAGACACCUGAAGUUCCCCCUGACGAGGUCGACCCCGCUACUCUUGUUUCCACGGAGGUCAGCCCUGAAGUGGAAGUAUCCCUCAACUCGGUAGCAGGCUUAUCCUCCCCAAAGACGAUGAAGGUUAGAGGGGCUAUCGGGAAUCAACCGGUGGUAACCCUAAUUGACCCAGGGGCCACGCACAACUUCAUCUCUUCACAUCUGAUCCGCCUUGGGACUUCCAGUCGACGAGACAGAGCCUUACGGGGUGAGGAUGGGAACCGGUGAUAGCGAGAGGGGAACUGGGAUUUGCAGAGGGAUCUUACUUCACCUUAAGGAGCUCGACAUCACUGAGGAUUUCCUUCCCCUGCGGUUAGGAAGUUCUGAUGUCAUACUGGGAAUGCAAUGGUUAGAGACCCUUGGGGUGACAAAAACAAAUUGGAAAGAGCAGACAAUGGAAUUUGAUGUAGGAGGAAGAAAGGCUAAAAUCAAGGGGGACAAAUCUUUGGGAAAAUCCCUAAUCUCUCUCAAGGCUAUGACAAGGACGAUUGGGAAGGAGGGCAACGGCGUAUUUCUCGAGCUCUGUAACACGGAGGCUAAUGUGAUUCAACCCAGCAAUAGUCCCUAUUCCAGCCCGGUCAUCCUAGUGAAGAAAAAAGACGGGUCCUGGAGAUUCUGUGUAGACUACAGGGCCUUAAAUCGAGCUACUGUCCCCGAUAAAUUCCCUAUCCCUGUUAUAGACGAGUUGUUGGAUGAACUUCAUGGAUCGGUCAUUUUCAGCAAACUCAACUUGAAGUCGGGGUAUCACCAAAUCCGGAUUCGAAAGGAAGACGUUCCCAAGACCGCGUUCCGAACACACGACGGGCAUUAUGAGUUCAAAGUAAUGCCUUUUGGUCUUACUAAUGCCCGGGCCACUUUUCAAGCACUUAUGAAUGAUGUAUUCCGUCCCUACCUAAGGAAGUUCAUUUUGAUUUUCUUUGACGACAUCUUAAUUUACAGCCCAAGUGAGGAACUACAUCGAGAGCAUGUGCUCACAGCUUUCCGAAAGUUAAAGGAGCACCAACUCUUUGUGAAUUUCAAGAAAUGUGAGUUCGGAAAGAGGAGACUAACAUAUUUGGGGCACGUGAUAUCAGCUGAAGGGGUGUCUGCUGAAGACAACAAAAUCCAAGCAAUGCAGGAUUGGCCUACCCCGAGCAAUCUCAAAGGGCUUAGGGGAUUCCUCGGACUCACCGGGUAUUACCGGAAAUUCGUACAAGGGUAUGCUAACAUAGCCAAACCCCUUACUGAACAGUUAAAAAAGGAUAAGUUUGGCUGGAAUGAGGAAGCCAACGGGGCAUUCUUACAACUGAAAAAAGCCAUGACCACAGUCCCAGUGUUGGCUAAGCCCGACUUCAACAAACUCUUCGUUGUGGAGACGGAUGCAUCCGGUCAUGGACUGGGGGCCGUGUUGAUGCAGGAAAACCGGCCGAUAGCCUACUACAGUUCCACCUUGGGUGUUCAAGCUCGCCUUAAAUCUAUUUAUGAGAAAGAACUCAUGGCAAUUGUCAUGGCAGUCCUCAAAUGGAGACCCUAUCUGCUGGGAAGAAAGUUUGUGGUGCGCACCGAUCAGCUGAGUCUCAAAUACAUUCUGGAACAACGGAUGGUGGGAAGUGAUUAUCAAAAAUGGAUUUCGAAACUCAUGGGUUUCAAUUUCGAUAUCCAGUACCGGCCGGGAGCAAGCAACCGUGUGGCGGAUGCCCUUUCGCGAAAGGAGAACCAGCUAGAUUGUAACUCCAUUUCCGUGGGGGUCUGGAAGUUUUGGGAUCAACCGAAAGAAGAAAUGGCCCGGGAUGAAUUCAUACAAAAAGUUAAGGUUGACUUGGAGCGUGAUGUGGAAUCACACAAAGGGUAUUCCACGUACCAAGGUAACCUUCUGUUCAAGGGAAGGCUAGUGGUUCCCUCCUCGACAGCCCUCUUACCCGAGAUUCUAGCCAUGUAUCACGAUUCUCCAAUUGGGGGGCAUGCAGGGGAGAAGAAAACUUACAUGCGAGCAGCAGCGGAACUGUUUUGGCCUGGAAUGCGCACCACCAUCAUGGAAUACGUGAGGAACUGCAAGAUUUGUCAAACCCACAAAACUCUCACUAUGUCCCCGGUGGGGCUGCUUCAACCCAUCCCUCUUCCGACGCAAACAUGGGACGAAGUGACUAUGGAUUUUAUUGAAGGCCUUCCGAAAUCGAGUGGCUGGGACACUAUAUGGGUGGUGGUUGACAGGCUGACAAAAUAUGCCCACUUUAUCCCUCUCAAACAUCCCUUCACAGCAACUGCGGUUGCCAGUGAAUUCAUCAAAGAAAUUGUAAGGUUGCACGGUUUUCCCUCUUCUAUUAUCAGCGAUAGAGACCGAAUCUUUGUGAGCCAACUCUGGAGCGAGAUGUUCCGUUUACAUGGGGUACAACUGAAGAAAAGCACGGCCUACCACCCUCAAGCAGACGGGCAGUCUGAGGUGGUGAAUCGUUGUCUGGAAACUUACUUGCGAUGUUUUUGUUCAGAAAAACCCAAGAGUUGGGCACGUUGGCUUUCAUGGGCGGAGUUAUGGUAUAAUACUUCUUACCACACCUCCAUCAAUUGCACCCCGUUCAAGGCCCUGUAUGGUCGUGACCCACCUCCCAUCCUCCGUUAUGAGGGACAACACACUACUAUGGAUGCAAUCGACCAACUUCUAGAAGAUCGGGAUGCCAUCCUGGAUGACCUUCGAGUGCAUUUGAUCAGGGCUCAACAGAAAAUGGUUAUGCAGGCCAACAAGCAUCGUCGAGAAGUGGAGUUCAACGAAGGAGACAAGGUCUACGUGAAACUUCGCCCAUACCGACAACAAAGUCUUGCCAAGAGGAAGUAUGAAAAAUUGGCUCCUAAAUACUAUGGACCCUAUCGCAUUAGCCAACGGAUUGGCAAAGUAGCCUACAAGUUGGACCUACCUCCAACACCUACCAUCCAUCCCGUAUUUCAUGUGUCUCAAUUGAGGGCAGCCCAUGGCGAGCCUACUGUUAGCAAUGAUCUGCCUCCACAACUCAAUACAGAGAUGGAACUAAUCCUCCAACCGUUGUUGCUUCGAGGGGUACGGAUUGGAAAGGGCAAGGAUCAAGGAAGAGAAGUUUUGAUUCAAUGGAAGGGGCUGUUAGAAGCGGAAGCCACUUGGGAAGAUUUUAACAGGUUCCACCUCCAGUUUCCAGAAUUUAACCUUGAGGGCAAGGUUCGAGUUUGGGAGGCGGGUAUUGAUAGGCCCAAGGACGUCCAUGUCUACAAAAGGGGAAGGAACAAACCACAUCAGCCCACUCCAGAUUAGUCCUUUUCUGCAGCCCAGGCUUGUUAUUAUUUCAUCUUGUUUUUUGUCUUAUAGUUUGUGGUCCCCUUCGUUGUUAUGCUCCUCCCACCACGUUCUGGUCCGUGGCGAUCCUUCUAGUGGGGAGCAGGGUCUGUGGUUUAUUCUGUUUUGUCUCCAGCUGUCUUAUAUAUAGUCCUGGAGGAUCUUUUGUUAUUUUUUCCUUAUGAAAAAAUCAAUGAAACAGUUCUUAUGAACUUGGGAGAGCACCCACCUCUAGAAUUGUGGGAACCUAUCAAUUACGUUUGAUUUAUUCUGUUGUG